CCAAUUUAACGAUAUCUCAUCUGAAAUCCCUAAAUCGUGUUAACCCAAUUCAACGAUAUCCCAUCUGAAAUCCCUAAAUCGUGUUCUUACACAUUUGAAAAAUCUCAAUUUGGCUGAAAUCCAAUUUUGUGUCCAACUACUGUAGCUUUCACCACCAUCACCAUCCACCGUCCGCCACCACCACCGUUGACAGGUGCACCAUUCCCGCCAUCACUGUCGACAAGUGAGCCCUUCUCUCUAGUCUUGUCAUUCUCGCCAGUCCACUGCAUCUUGAGUUUCUCUCCCAUCGCUGUCCACAGGUAGCUAGAACUUUAUACAUGUUUGCUCUUCUCCUCCUGCAUCUUUGUAGCACUGUUCGAAGACAGUACCAAAUGACACGAAGGAGUUUUAUUGGCAAGAAUUCAAGAAAUACUUCCUAUGCGACCAAGCAAUUGAUAGCUUGGUUAAAAUUGCAUGGUAGAAAAAGGCUACUGAGAGAUACAGGGGCCUUAUAUGUGAAAUCAGAAAAGGGAAGACAAAGAAUUUAGCUACACCAGAUUUUGUUUUGAGGAAGUGGCAUAAAACUUGGAACACUUUUGAAUAUAAAGAGAAGUGUGACAAAUUUUCUGUCAAUAGGCAUAGUGAGGCUGAAGGAGCAGGAUCUGGCAUUUUCAGACAUGCUUGUAGAUCAGUUUCACAAUAUACCCACCAGUAGAGGAUGAUAUUAAUAAUCACUUUAAUAUUUAUUUUGUUAUAUAUAUUUUAUUGCGAUACUACUUGUUAUCCUUCUUAUACUUGAUAACAGAGAGAAAGACUAGGAAGAGAACCACAUUCUCAUGAGCUUUUCGAGACCACACAUAAGAGAAAGGGGACAGAGGAGUUUGUUGAUGUUAGGUCAAAAGCUAUUUAUGUAAGUUGAUAAUAAAUGUAGUUAUAAACAAUUUUGAUGUACUUAAAUCAUAUUAGUAAUAAGUUAUUAAAAUUUUAUAAUGCAGAACAAAUACAUACAACUAAAGGAGGCAGCAACACAGCAACAGGAGGGAAGUAAUGAGCCGACACCUAUAAAUGAGGCCCAACUUUACUACGAGGUAGUUGGCGGGCAGAAAAAGAGUCGAGUUUAUGGAUUAAGGUCCCAGGCUUCUACAUAUUUUCAUGAAUCAUCACAUUGUUCCACUUCAUACUCGUCUGCAUCCCGAGUGAAUUCUCCUACCAUUGAAGAAAUGAACAGGAUGUAGAAUAAAAUUAAUCGGCUAGAGAUAGAGAAUGGUCGACUUAACACAGUGGUGGAGGAGUUGCAGGCAGUUAUAUAUAGGAUGAUAGCACAACAGGGUGUUAGGACAUCUACUCAAACAUUUGCUCCUCCGGCACCUCCAGCUCCGUCUCCACAGCAGCAGCAUGAUUAUGCCCCUGUCAGUAGUGAUCAUCAUACAGACAAUGAUGAUGAUACAGAUGAUGAGCUUGCUAGUUUAGUUUAGUAUGUAUCUUUUGUUCG